rnacentral:rRNA from 1 species
AUUGAACGCUGGCGGCAGGCCUAACACAUGCAAGUCGAACGAGUGGCGGACGGGUGAGUAAUGUCUGGGAAACUGCCUGAUGGAGGGGGAUAACUACUGGAAACGGUAGCUAAUACCGCAUACCAUCGGAUGUGCCCAGAUGGGAUUAGCUAGUAGGUGGGGUAAAGGCUCACCUAGGCGACGAUCCCUAGCUGGUCUGAGAGGAUGACCAGCCACACUGGAACUGAGACACGGUCCAGGCUCAUAAGGGAGGCAGCAGGGGGGAAUAUUGCACAAUGGGGGCAAUCCUGAUGCAGCCAGGCCGCGUGUAGGAAGAAGGCCUUCGGGUUGUAAAGUCCUUUCAGCGGGGAGGCGUUACCGGCAGAAGAAGCACCGGCUAACUCCGUGCCAGCAGCCGCGGUAAGAC